UCGGAGCACCCAAGACAGGUGGUGCAUGGUUGUCGUCAGCUCGUGUCGUGAGAUGUUGGGUUAAGUCCCGCAACGAGCGCAACCCUUGAUCUUAGUUGCCAGCACUUCGGGUGGGCACUCUAGGAUGACUGCCGGUGACAAACCGGAGGAAGGUGGGGAUGACGUCAAAUCAUCAUGCCCCUUAUGACCUGGGCUACACACGUACUACAAUGGUCGGUACAACGGGAAGCGAAGCCGCGAGGUGGAGCGAAUCCUUAUAAGCCGAUCUCAGUUCGGAUUGCAGGCUGCAACUCGCCUGCAUGAAGUCGGAAUUGCUAGUAAUCGCGGAUCAGCAUGCCGCGGUGAAUACGUUCCCGGGUCUUGUACACACCGCCCGU
rnacentral:rRNA from 1 species